rnacentral:snoRNA from 1 species
CAAAUGGAUGAAGAAGAACUCGUCGCAUACAUGGUCGCCGGCCUCGACUCUGAUUACGAGCCGGUGGUAUCAGCACUUGCGGCACAGAAGGAACCAGUCAUCGUAGCAGAGCUCUAUGGGCAACUGCUCGGGUUUGAAG